rnacentral:rRNA from 1 species
UACGUAGGGUGCGAGCGUUGCCCGGAUUUAUUGGGCGUAAAGGGCGCGUAGGCGGCCACGCACGUCCGUUGUGAAAUCGCCCGGCUCAACUGGGCGGGGUCAGCGGAUACGGUGUGGCUCGAGCAAGCUAGGGGGCAAUGGAAUUCCCGGUGUAGUGGUGGAAUGCGUAGAUAUGUGGAGGAACACCGAUGGCGAAGGCAGCCCCCUGGGAUAAUACUGACGCUCAUGCACGAAAGGCGUGGGGAGCAAACAGG